CAGGCGAGGGCAGUUCCCAGGACUGACGGACGGCGGGCAGAACAGAGCCCGAGCACGUGGCAGGGAGCACGUGGCAGGGUGGCCGGUGGCUUGUGCCCUCGGACUGAGGUUUGUGCAGGGCCCACGAAAGGUUGGGGCGUGGCCUGGUGCCAGGGCACCCCCAGUAGCUCUGUGGAGUCCCAGGUGCCCUGUUGGACUCAGACCUGGCUACAGGGACAGGAGACGGCAGGGCUGGAAGGGCCCCCAGGUCGGCGUCACCCUCUGCCAGGACAGAAGGGGGCAUCACCCCAGGCUCCCUCUCCCAAGCCUGGGGAGGGAGACGCUCUUAUGUUAAGAGUUCUUGGACAAAUUUUUAAAAAGUUUCAGAGGCAACUGGGCGGACCAGAUGUUUCACCCUACUCUGGGGAGAACAGACCUUCUUCCUCCAAAAGAAACGAGUUCCGACCCUACCUAAGGGAGGUGGCUACCGCUCACCUUUCUGCUCCUGUGAGCGUGUGUACAGCCUCAGCAGCCUGAGGCCUGACCGUGCUCCGUCCCGGGAGAGACGGUCUCAACAGGUGAGAACUCCUCCUAGUAUUAGUCACAUCAACUCAAUUAAGUGAUGGCAGCGGCUGCUGUGGCCAGGUCUGGACUGGGCACUGAGGACACAGGAGUUAAUCAGACUUUGUUUGAGAAGGUUGCGCUCGAUGAGAAAAAAAGACAAGGACACGUCGCUGAUGGCCAUGAGAGGCUCAAAGCUAGGGAUGUGCGGAGAAGUCAAGGCCACUUCUCCAGGAGACUGGUGUGCAGGCCGGAGUGGGGAGGUGUGCAGAUCAGGGAAUGUGGUUUCUAGGAAAAGCGGGUGCCUGAGUUGGUCGGAGGGGAAGAAGGGUCAGAUUUUUAGGGGAAGGAGGGUGGGUCUGGGCUCCAGGGGAGAAAGACAGAGAGACUUGUGCUUUGGGAACAAAAGACCUUUGGGAGUAUGGGCCCAGCCCAGGCCCUCAGCAGCAGCAAGGCCUUGGUGUUCACACAGAUGAAGUGGUGAUGGUGGCAGUGGCCUCCCCUGGGCAGGGUUUGGUAGGGGACUGCCCAGCCCUGUGUCCCUUUAGGGCCCUCUGCAGACUGUCUCAUAUGGCAGAGCUUUGAAUGGUAGCCCCACCCCACCCCAGAGGCUACAGGUGGGCCCAGGUAUGGAUGCGUCAGUUCCCAGCAUCGUCCCCUGUUGAUCAUCAGGUGCCCUGAUGAUAUCAGUGUUUUCUGAAUGUGCCAUAAGGUGAGUGAGACUGGUUGGACGAGAGACGGAGGUGUUCAAAUCUAACCUCCAAGGAGGCCUCCCUCCAGCUCUUCAUUCUUCCAACCCCCAAACCCUUAGAGUGGAGGCGGGAGCAGAGACCAGAGGAAGUACAAAAGCAGCAGAGAAUGCUGAAAGCAGACUUGGGGCUCAAGCCCCAAGUCCCAGGGGUCUAACGGUCCCGUCUGUGGCUCAGAGUUCACCUCUGUUGGUGGCCUGGCGCGGACGGAGACCCCAGGAGGCCCUGCGACCGGCCAGCAGAGCCCCCUCCUGCCUGGGGCUCCCAGGAGCAGCAGCUGUCUCCGGUUCCAGCUCCCCAGCUCCGCAGGGUUAAAGGCAGGGAGGAGUGCUUGCAGGGAGCUGUGUCUCCUCCCCACCUCAGCUCCGCAGGGUUAAAGGCAGGGAGGAGUGCUUGCAGGGAGCCGUGUCUCCUCCCCACCUCGGCGGGGUCAGCUGGGCCCUGAGGCUCUCCUGUGACUGCUCCCUGCUCUGUGACCUGUGUCAAGGGCCAGCUAACCCAGUGCCCUCCCUAGACCUGACUGCAGUAACUUUUACACUCGAAACCGUUCAACUGCAUCCCAUCCCUAGGACAGAAGCACAACGGUUCUCAACCUGCCCCGGGGCUAAGGCCCCCAGCUGUGGCCGCCCUGCCCUGCCCACGGCCCUCUGACGAAACUCCGGAAGCUGAAAGCAGAGCGCGGGGCAGGAGGGAAGUCAGCGCGUCCUUCCCCUCUCCGUCCAUCUGUCCGUCUGCACACGGCGAGGGUCAGAGGCUGCGCGCAGGAGCGCUCAAGUCACCGCCUUCCGAAACUCACUCAGCUCUUCGGGGGGCCAGGAGACAACUGGUGACCUUUCUUGGCUGUCAGGACAAGUGUGAAUCCUCCUUACCUUGGAAUCUGUAUUCCUGGUGUGUGAAAUGGAAGUAAUAGCGACCCCUACCAGUUCAUCUUUCUUAAAGGCGCGUUGGACCAGAGAGUGUAAGCGCCCAGCACCCUGGAGGAAAGGAACUCACUCCCACUGACUAGACUGAACAGCGGGCAGGGGCCUCAGGUGGCACCUGGAGGAGGCAGUCCAGAGACUUCCAAGGUCACCUCCGACCCCUCUGGGACCUCCCUGCAGACUUCCUGAUGCAACUGUCCAACUCACUGCCUCUCUAGACAGGAGGGACAGACUCUGCCGAGGAGAAAGCUCUCCCUCCUGCCGCACUGGGGCCGGCCCUGGAGACCCCUCGCCACCGGCCCCGGACCCAUCUCCCCCUGAAGAACUCAGCAGAAACGGGAAAGCAGAACCAAGGUCCCCCCACCCAGGUGCCGCUGGCCGGGGUCCUGGUGUGACCACCCAGCUGUUUACGGCAGCACGCCUCACGCUGCUUGGAGCCCUGGCUGUUCCAGUUGCUAAGUACUUUGAUGCCACCCUAGACUCUCAGGAGUGGCGUCGAGGGCACAGUGAGAGGACGACCCUCCCAAAGGCCUUCCCCACCCGCUCGGAUCCACUAGCUCACUCACAGAGCCCCUCCUCCAGCACAUGACAGCUUAAUAAAGAAAUGGUCGUUCCUAACGUGUGCUGAAAAGAACCCUGAUGCU